rnacentral:rRNA from 1 species
CAGUCGCCGCGGUAAUACGGAGGGUGCAAGCGUUAAUCGGAAUUACUGGGCGUAAAGCGUGCGUAGGCGGUGAGUUAAGUCUGCUGUGAAAUCCCCGGGCUCAACCUGGGAAUGGCAGUGGAUACUGGCUCGCUAGAGUGUGUCAGAGGAUGGUGGAAUUCCCGGUGUAGCGGUGAAAUGCGUAGAUAUCGGAAGGAACACCUGUGGCGAAAGCGGCUCACUGGACCAUAACUGACGCUGAUGCACGAAAGCUAGGGGAGCAAACAGGAUUAGAUACCCCCGUAGUCCCUGUCUCUUAUAC